rnacentral:rRNA from 1 species
GACAGAGGAGCCAAGCGUUGUCCGGACUCACUGGGCGUAAAGCGCACGCAGGCGGUCGUGCACGUGGGGUGUGAAAGCGCUGGGCUUAACUCAGCGAGGCCACCUCAUACGGCACGGCUCGAGCCCGUGAGAGGUCCAUGGAAUUGCCGGUGUAGUGGUGAAAUGCGUAGAGAUCGGCAGGAACACCCAGGGGGAAACCAGUGGACUGGCACGGUGCUGACGCUCAGGUGCGAAAGCGUGGGGAGCGAACCGG